rnacentral:lncRNA from 1 species
AAUGCCUGGAAUAUAAAAGGCAAAGGAGAAUAAAAAGUAGCUGCUCUGCCGCUGAUGGUGAUUUCUAUGGUGAUGGUGACAAGGAUGUUGACUCGCUAAUUGGGACGCAAGAAGCCUGGUCACAUCUGGAAAGCCUUUUUGUAGAUUCUUGCCAUCUGACUUUGUUUCAGUGGGUGACUUUCCAUUGGCCACGUUCAUGAGUCUUCACUCACCUAUCUAACCUAGGACCUGAGUCAAGUAAACUGGUUCCAUUAACAAA